GUCUUUGGAAACUCGACUGACUGCCACCGAGAGCAAAACAAGUGACCUAGAAACAGAGAACGCAGUCCAAGCUGCAGACCUGAUGUCUCUGGAAACUCGACUGACUGCCACCGAGAGCAAGACAAGUGACCUAGAAACAGAGAACGCAGUCCAAGCUGCAGACCUGAUGUCUUUGGCAACUGGACUAACUGCCACUAUGAAGAGAACAAGUUACCUGGAAACAGAGAACGCAG